GGGGCCCGGACGCGCAGCCGCUUCCGGGUUCCGGGGGCAGGGCUCGGCCGCGGGGCAUCAUGGGAGUGCGGGCAAGGGGGCUCCUGCCGUAGAGGAUCACGGGAGUGCGGGUAUAGGAGCUCCUGCCGCAGGGCAUCAUGGGAGGGCAGGCAAGGAGCUGGGGGGGCUCCUGUCCUGGGGUAUCUUGGGAGUGCGAGUAAGGGGGCUUCUGCUGCAGGGCAUCAUGGGAGUACAGGCAAGGGGGCUCCUACCGCAGAGGAUCAUGGGAGUGCAAGCAAGGGGGGCUCCUGUCUCAGGGCAUCAUGGGAAUGCAGCUAAAUCACAGGAAUGCAGCCAAGGCAGCUUCCUGCCUCUGGGGAUGAUGGGAGUGUGGUGACCAGCAACCCCUGACCCCCUAGGGGUAGUCGGCGUGGCGGGCCCAGGGCAGGCGAGUGCGCAGCAGCAGGAGGCAGGCAGCGGCUCCAAGGGCCAGCAGCAGCGCCAGGCCCAGCGCGAUGUAGGCACCCGUGGUCAGCCAGAAGGCAAAGAGUGGACUCAGGCAUCUGGGCCUGUGACUCACCAGCGAUGAACCAGGCAAAGAGGAAGAGGAGGAAGAGCGCAUGGCAGCCCCAGACUCCAGGCUUCACUGGGGGCGGCUCAGCCCCAUCGCCACAGGGCAGGCAGGUCAGCAUCAGGCUCAGCAGGGCCACGACCCCCAUGCCCAGCAGGCACCACACGACCCUUGACCCUGUCCUGGGCUUUAUUGGAGCCACAAGCAAGGUACAGCAGGACCCC